UUCCGGUUGAUCCCGCCGGAGGCUACCGCUAUUGGAGUUCGAUUAAGCCAUGCGAGUCGAGAGUCUUAGGGACUCGGCGUACCGCUCAGUAACACGUGGGUAACCUGCCCUAUGCUGGGGAAUAACCUCGGGAAACUGAGAAUAAUGCCCCAUAGUUCACUACGCCUGGAACGGUGGGUGGACCAAAGCUCCGGCGGCAUAGGAUGGGCCUGCGGCGUAUCAGGUUGUAGGGGGUGUAAUGUACCCUCUAGCCCUCUACGCGUACGGGUGUUGAGAGACAUCGCCCGGAGAUGGAUUCUGAGACACGAAUCCAGACCCUACGGGGUGCAGCAGGCGCGAAAACUUGGCAAUGCGAGAAAUCGUGACCAGGGAACUCCAAGUGCAUCGGGUAAGACCGAUGCUUUUCUUGACUCUUCAAAGGUCUUGGAAUAAGGGGUGGGUAAGGACGGUGCCAGCCGCCGCGGUAAUACCGGCGCCCCAAGUGGUAGUCGCUUUUAUUGGGCCUAAAACGUCCGUAGCCGGUCUGGUACAUUCGUGGGUAAAUCAACCAGCUCAACUGGUUGAAUUCUGCGAGCACGGCCAGACUUGGGACCGGGAGAGGUGUGGGGUACUCUCAGGGUAGGGGUAAAAUCCUGUCAUCCUGAGAGGACCACCUGUUGCGAAGGCGCCACACUAGAACGGAUCCGACGGUCAGGGACGAAGCCUAGGGGCACGAACCGGAUUAGAUACCCGGGUAGUCCUAGGUGUAAACGCUGUGGACUUGAUGUUGGGGGCGCUCCGAGCGCACUCAGUGUCGAAGCGAAGGUGAUAAGUCCACUGCCUGGGGAGUACGGUCGCAAGGCUGAAACUUAAAGGAAUUGGCGGGGGAGCACCGCAACCUGAGGAUUGUGCGGUUUAAUUGGAUUCAACGCCGGA
rnacentral:rRNA from 1 species